rnacentral:rRNA from 1 species
UACAGAGGUCUCAAGCGUUGUUCGGAUUCAUUGGGCGUAAAGGGCUCGUAGGCGGUCUGUUGCGUCGGGAGUGAAAACUUACAGCUUAACUGUGAGCGUGCUUUCGAUACGGGCAGACUUGAGGCAUUCAGGGGAGAACGGAAUUCCUGGUGUAGCGGUGAAAUGCGCAGAUAUCAGGAGGAACACCGGUGGCGAAGGCGGUUCUCUGGGAAUGUCCUGACGCUGAGGAGCGAAAGUGUGGGGAGCGAACAGG